rnacentral:rRNA from 1 species
AUUGAAUGCUGGCGGCAGGCCUAACACUUGCAAGUCGAGCGGAGCGGCGGACGGGUGAGUAAUGCCUAGGAAACUGCCUUGUAGUGGGGGAUCACGUCCGGAAACGGGCGCUAAUACCGCAUACUAUCAGGUGAGCCUAGGUCGGAUUAGCUAGUUGGUGGGGUAAAGGCCUACCAAGGCGACGAUCCGUAACUGGUCUGAGAGGAUGAUGAGUCACGACGGAACUGAGACACGGUCCAGACUCCGACCAUGAUCAUCAGUAAAUGAUAGUGGACAAUGGGCGAUAGCCUGAUCCAGCCAUGCCGCGGGUGUGAAGAGGGUCUUCGGAUUUUAAAGCACUUUAAGUUGGGAGGCGUAACCAGCAGAAUAAGCACCGGCUAACUUCGUGCCAGCAGCCGCGGUAAUUC